UGAACGCUGGCGGCGUGCCUAAUACAUGCAAGUCGAGCGAACAGAUGAGGAGCUUGCUCCUCUGACGUUAGCGGCGGACGGGUGAGUAACACGUGGAUAACCUACCUAUAAGACUGGGAUAACUUCGGGAAACCGGAGCUAAUACCGGAUAAUAUAUUGAACCGCAUGGUUCCAUAGUGAAAGACGGUUUUGCUGUCACUUAUAGAUGGAUCCGCGCCGCAUUAGCUAGUUGGUAAGGUAACGGCUUACCAAGGCAACGAUGCGUAGCCGACCUGAGAGGGUGAUCGGCCACACUGGAACUGAGACACGGUCCAGACUCCUACGGGAGGCAGCAGUAGGGAAUCUUCCGCAAUGGGCGAAAGCCUGACGGAGCAACGCCGCGUGAGUGAUGAAGGUCUUCGGAUCGUAAAACUCUGUUAUUAGGGAAGAACAAAUGUGUAAGUAACUAUGCACGUCUUGACGGUACCUAAUCAGAAAGCCACGGCUAACUACGUG
rnacentral:rRNA from 1 species